CCUACGAGAGGCAGCAGUGGGGAAUAUUGCACAAUGGGGGAAACCCUGAUGCAGCGACGCCGCGUGAGUGAAGAAGUAUUUCGGUAUGUAAAGCUCUGUCAGCAGGGAAGAAGAAAGACGGUACCUGACUAAGAAGCCCCGGCUAACUACGUGCCAGCAGCAGCGGUAAUACGUAGGGGGCAAGCGUUAUCCGGAUUUACUGGGUGGAAAGGGAGCGUAGACGGGUGUGCAAGUCUGAAGUGAAAGCCCAGGGCUCAAACCCGGGACUGCGUUGGAAACUGUGGAACUAGAGUGAUGGAGAGGUAAGUGGAAUUCCUAGUGUAGCGGUGAAAUGCGUAGAUAUUAGGAGGAACACCAGUGGCGAAGGCGGCUUACUGGACAGUAACUGACGUUGAGGCUCGAAAGCGUGGGGAGCAAACAGGAUUAGAUACCCUUGUAGUC
rnacentral:rRNA from 1 species